rnacentral:lncRNA from 1 species
GGAACCCUAUCAAGGCAUAGAUUUUCAGUCCUGUAGUUCCAUCAAAUGUGCAAGCUUUGACUUGGAGAAGCUGCCAAUAAUGCAGGUGGAUACAGGGAGGUUGAUUCUUACCUGCAGCAAGCUGACACCAGUCUGGAGACACUGCAUUGCUUGGGGCCAUGCUGCAAACCCAGGGGAGGAAAGGAAGUAACCUGACAGAUAUACUUGGAUUGUUCAAACUGCCUGUAAAAGCAAUGCAUAGGUGAAAGGUAUAAUGCACUUUAUGAGAAGAUUUCUUCAAAUACAUUAAUAUUUCCAAUACUGCUUUUGGUGUCUGAUCAAUCUUCCAAUAUAAGCCUUCUGCUGAAUUUCAAGAAGUAAAUACUCAAAAAGCUUGCUUUAUUUGGCCAAAGCAUGUAUAAACUACCAGAGAACUGGUGGAGCAAUAAAUAAACAUGUUUAACACCUAAGGCA